AUCGAACGCUGGCGGCAGGCCUAACACAUGCAAGUCGAGCGGAGCGGCGGACGGGUGAGUAAUGCCUAGGAAUCUGCCUGGUAGUGGGGGAUAACGUACGGAAACGGGCGCUAAUACCGCAUACUAUCAGAUGAGCCUAGGUCGGAUUAGCUAGGUGGUGGGGUAAAGGCCUACCAAGGCGACGAUCCGUGACUGGUCUGAGAGGAUGACCAGCGACACUGGGACUGAGACACGGCCCAGACUCCUACGGUAGACAGCAGUGGGGAAUAUUGCGAAAUGGGGGCAACCCUGACGCAGCAAUGCCGCGUGAAUGAAGAAGGCCUUAGGGUUGUAAAGUUCUUUCGGUAGCGAGGCGUUAACUACAGAAGAAGCACCGGCUAACUCCGUGCCAGCAGCCGCGGUAAUUC
rnacentral:rRNA from 1 species